AACGCACAUUGCGCCCCCCGGUAUUCCGGGGGGCAUGCCUGUCCGAGCGUCAUUGCACCCCUCAAGCACGGCUUGGUUUUGGGCGACCGUCCCCCGGGACGCGCCCCAAAUGCAUUGGCGGCACCGGCCCCGGUGUCCGGAGCGUAUGGGACCCCCGUCACGCCCGCAGGACCCGGCCGGCGCCGGCCGCAACUGAUCGCUAUUGACCUUCCAGGUUUGACCUCGGAUCAGGUAGGGAUACCCGCUGAACUUAA
rnacentral:misc_RNA from 1 species